rnacentral:lncRNA from 10 species
CUUUGUCAAGAGGGGCCCUCACUGCCUGGUCAUCAGCAAUCCAAGAUGGCUGACAGUCAGAGGUGGUGGUGGUCAAGAGCAAGGUCGAGGCUCACCUGUGCCCAUUUGGUUCCGUACAUUGCUCACUAGAGGCAUCAUCGACAGAGUAUGAAUCAGCUCCCCAAUUAGCCUGACCGUAAUCACCUGUGUUGCUUGAUUAUUAUACAAAUUCCCCGACCUCAUACCGACCUACUGAAUCGAAAUCUCUAGGAGUAGAUUCUGGGAAUCUGUAUCGCUGGUAAAGCUCCCAGGUGAUUCCUAUAAUCUGGCAAUGUGGGAGACACGAGCAUUAAGGGAACCCAGCAACAGGCUCCAUCCUCUGCCUAACAUCAGCAACCUCAGCAGAGACUUGGUCCCAGGGACCUUGCUCCAUUAUGUACCCCAAGACACUGUCCCUAAAUGGUGCACAAAGCAGACUCAGGCCUGUCUCACACACUGGCAAAGCUGCUGCCCCCCAGCUCAAACCAGGUAGUCAGGCUUAGGAAAACCACCCUGCCUGCUGGUAAUUAGCCAUGUGAUGUUAAAGAAGCAGCUGUGGCUGUUUGGAAUAUGACUGUUCUGGAAGGACUUUUCUCCUCUUUUUCACCACCACACUCCCUCGAAUGACUCACAGUUCUCCACUUCCUGUUUUGGAGGCGCUGGCCGGCAUAUAGCCACAAGGGUAAGCUGUCAUUUGGCUUUUCUUUUGCAUUAUGUCAUUAUUUGACAUAAAUAUCACAUUUGUUCUUGCAAAUGCUCUCAGGAAGUGACAUCACAACUUCUGUUCUCUUUAUAAUGACAGAAUUACAAUGCCUUCUGGUAACUUGUCAAGAAUCAGAACAAUUUAUACAAUGUCCAUCCCUGGAAAGAUCUUUGCACAUUUACUGAACUUAAAUGAAUAUAAAAGCAGGAAAACCCUAAGUUUUAUUAUAAAUGGAUAUACAGAUAAUAUCGCCAGACUUUCUUUUUUGUAAUUUUAUAAUAUCUCACUUUUUUUUUUUUAACCUUGAUUUUACCGAAGGGUCAGCAGAGACAAAGGCAAUGUUGGUGAGGCCAUGUACAUUUUCAUCUCCUUGAGCUGGUACUGUGAGCAAGCUGUUCAUCUCUCCACGCCAACCUCAAUCUUCCUCUCUAAAAAAGGGACUGAUGCUACUUUCCUAAUCCUGCCAUGACCUUUGCAAAUAAAACACUUAACUGAACACACUGUAGUCCUCCAACUGAGGUAAAUUAAUUCCAUCCUAAUGCCAUCUGGAAUCCCAGAAGCAGUCAUUAAUUAUACAGUGUCUUGCCUGUAACUCAAUACAUGAAAAGACAAAAAGAUUUACCUAAAUGAUCUUUUCAGAAACCACUGCACACCCCCCAAGAUCAACCUUACAUAAAGGGCAACAUAUUCUGCCUUUGGGAAAUGAAACGAUGCCCCUGACCCACCAUCCAUAAAGGAUGUACUAUGAGACAUGAGUGCAAAGGACAAUCCUGACAUGUCCUAACAUGCAACCGACGUUUACCCAGGGACCAAAGGAAUGGAUGUAAUUUCUUGAGCUAAACUGCCCAAAUGCUUGUAUAUAGGGUCCUUUAGAAGUCUCUCUAUGUGGCCGGGUGUGGUGGUUCAAGCCUGUAAUCCUAGCACUUUGGGAGGUUGAGGCUGGUGGAUCACCUGAGGUCAGGAGUUCAAGACCAGCCUGACCAACAUGGCAAAACCUCGUCUCAACUAAAAAUACAAAAAUUAGCCAGGUGUGGUGGUGCACACCUAUAAUCCCAGCUACUCAG